AGCUCCCGGGAGCCCCGCGCUGGGGUUCUCCCGUGCAGUAACAGGUGUGAGCAUCCAUGCAGCAUUUUGAUGGUCAUGUAUGAUACUGCAUA
rnacentral:snoRNA from 1 species